CAGCAGCCGCGGGAAUACGAAGGGGGCUAGCGUUGCUCGGAAUCACUGGGCGUAAUGGGUGCGUAGGCGGGCCUUUAAGUCAGGGGUGAAAUCCUGGAGCUCAACUCCAGAACUGCCUUUGAUACUGAAGAUCUUGAGUUCGGGAGAGGUGAGUGGAACUGCGAGUGUAGAGGUGAAAUUCGUAGAUAUUCGCAAGAACACCAGUGGCGAAGGCGGCCCACUGGCCCGAUACUGACGCUGAGGCACGAAAGCGUGGGAGCAAACAGGAUUAGAUACCCGCGUAGUCCCUGUCUCUUAUACA
rnacentral:rRNA from 1 species